CCUUCUCUUCCCGGAUUGGCAGGCGGCUAGCGGCGGUGAGGCGGGCGCCUAAAUCCGGGUCCUUAGACGUUCGUCCGGGACGCAGCGCUCGCCGUCCAGCCGCGCUUCCCUCACACCUGCUGGCAUGCGUGUGGGCGCCCGCGCAGGUUCUUAAAAUGAAGAAGUUUAAUUUCCGAAAAGUUUUGGAUGGCUUGACUGCCUCCUCACCGGGCAGUGGCAGCAGCAGUGGCAGUAACAGCGGUGGGACUGGUAGUGGUCCCUUGCAUCCAGGAGGGACAGCUGGAGUUCUGAGAGAGGAGAUUCAGGAAACCUUGACUUCAGAAUAUUUCCAGAUUUGUAAGGAAUACCAGGUUGAAUCAAUAAUCAAAAUUGCUACACAUAUUUUUGUGAGUGGAACAUCUAUACUUGUGUGAGCUGUUCACUGAGAAUCUGUAACCCACAGGACAGGUGGAGAGGUCAGCUAGGAAACAGCAGAAAACAGAAGACAAGACUGCAGUGAUAGACAAAGAUGGAUAUCAAGCCAAAUGCAACAGCACUGCGUGCUGUCGGGCAACAGCAAAGGAUCCCUGUGCAUGCAAAAAGAAAGUUGCACAAUAUGAAGGAAGCAGUAAAAAUGAAAUGAAGUAGAAGAGACAUGCAGAAAGAAAAAUGCUCUCGGAUAUGUCACAAUCAUCUUGAUUCUUUACCUGGAAAACCUGUAUUUUUUCCUUUGUAAUUAUCUAAUAUACUUUGUGUCAAAGAACAAGGACCUGAGUUCCACUUAAAGAAGAUGAAGAAGUUAACAGAUACCGUUCUCAGGUUUUAUCAUGAAAUUAGAAAUGAAAAUUUUCAGUUUCUGGUAGACAUGAACAGAGAGCCUCAGGUAAGCCCGAGAGUGCAGGCAGACAGGAUGCUCCUGCGCAGGCUCCUCAGGUGCAGCUAUGCUGGUGGGAAAAAUCAUGCUGUUUAGCCUAACGAGGCAAAACAGAAUAAAGGCUAAGGUACUUCAGUAGAGAGGGUCUUAAAUGCACAGCUGUAUCAGCUGCUGCCUCCUUCCCACCUGGUCUUCAUUUUUUCUCUGUGUAAUCUGUUUGCUUCCCUACUGGGCCUGCUAACAUUAUCUGAUUCCAGGCCAAACUGAUAAUAUUCGUUAUGAGGCCUGCCAAAAUUAAUAAAAUUUGAGUUCGUCAUCUUGGUGUUCCCUGAACUAAAGUUAACUACCUGUGUCAAAUCCUAAAGUCCACUUGUUACACCAGCAUCAGGCUAAGAUGUAAACUCCAUUUGAACUACCAAAUAGCUGCACUCCUCUUGAAACUCUACAUGCACAGACAGAUGUUUGUUUGUAAGUGGAUACAAUAGACAGAGUGCUUAUUGGUGUUUUAAAAGCCAAAACCUGGAAUACUUUUCUUUUGACUUUACAUAUGGAGAAAAUUACAGUGUAAAAUGUAGACAAGAAUAAAAUAAUACCAAGAUGAGUAAGUCCAUUAAAAAUGUAGAUGAGCAAAUGACUUUAGCAUUAUUAAUGCUGAUUGGGAAUUUGACUGGCCAAAUGAGCAUGUUUAUACUUGGGACCAAUUAAAAGGCUUACCAUUUUAAUCACUGGCAGAACUGGACAUUCAGUGUUUUCCUGGAUGACAAGAAUUUUCUUUUGUUGUUUUUUCAGUUUGGCUUUGUUUUGGUCUAGUGAACUGCACCAGAGUGUCCUCAGUGUAGAGAAGAUAACAAUACACUACCACAGUGUUAGUAAUAAUAUCUUGUUACUAACAUUUAGUAACAGUAUCUCAGAGUCUCUCUACAGCUUGAGGGGAAAACAUUGCUGCCAUUCCUACCCUGAGGAAAAUCUACAGUAACAGAAUGUUUCCAGAAGUAGAAACAUCCUACCAGUCCAGAACCUCCACGUGGACCCGACCUCUCAGCUUUCCCUGACUCCCCACCAGGGCAGCUGCUGUGUAGGAUCCGCUGUAACGUACCAAAGGCACAGGCGGUGCAGUGCGUUGGGGCUGGACUCAUGGAGAAUGUCCUGGAGCUUCCCAAGAAGACCCCUCCAACAUUACUAGGCAAAAAGGUGGAUCCAGAACACCCUCCUAAGCCCCGGGAACAGUUCCUCCUGAAAUAAUUAAAUAGACACACAUCUUUCAGCUUUGACUUUUUUUUAAUCAGCCUGAAAAGACCAGCUUUCAGAUUCCCAAAGAAAUUGCAAACACAUCUUUUAAAAAAAAAAAUUAUGGGGAAUCAAACUCAAAGACCCUCUACUUUGGCUAUUGGUACACAUUUCAUUCCUGGAGAUGGUUAGAAUAUGGUGUUUCUAAAAUAGAAGGACUUAUCUUUCCUCCUCUACUUUGCAACUAAGAUUAGUAUGGUGAAUAAAGCCAGUUUGGAUGAUUGAGCUCAUAAUUUUUAACUAAUGUCCACACUCAUAGUGUUUAAUUAGGACAUUGAAUUCUGGGCUUUUGAAUUGAGCUUUACAACCUUAGGUGACUGUAAUCAUUUACUUGCGUGUGUGUGUGUGUGUGUGCGCGCACACAUGUGCAUGUGGGUAUAUUAGACACGGUGUCAGUAAGUCGUUAAGCUGCCCAGGCUGGGAUCAUACUUGAAAUCAUCCUGCUUACACUCGGAGAAGGCUGAAAUUACAGGUCUGUACUGCACUUAACUCUAAUGAACAUUUAAGAGGUAUAUAGUCUAAAUUAGAAUGCAUUAUAGUUGUGAAAUGUGCAGUGGAUUUCAAAUGCUUACGACACAAAAAAUUAAAAUGUGUAAAAUUAACUCUUUCUGAGUUAUGUCCUCAUAUGUGAUGCAUGGUUUCAGUCCAUACCUCUGCUCUGUGAGGUUCACACCUCUGUUCUCAGACUUAAUAUUUACUUACUUAUAUUCCAAUUCUCCACAGUGGUUCAUAUGUAAUUUUUUACAGUAUAUUUAUUUUGCAACAUUAACAGUUGUGCUUGGCAGUUAUUAGAUUCUGAAAAAAAAUUAAUCAAAUUUUAUUUUCUAAUAAGUAGUGCUUAUUUCACAUGUAAGUGAUAUAGACAUGUUGUAAAAAUUUUAUAAAUAAUUUAUUUUUCUAGUUUAAGAGAUAUUUUUACAAUCGGUAUCAUUUCUAGAUAUCUCUAUGUUUUCAUUUUAUCUAGACAGUAGUUACAAUGUUUUCUCUAAUUGCUGAAGAAACUCUCAUACCAAACUAAUUUCAAUUCCAUACAUUGUGUCAUCUGCUGUGUGUCAGCUUCUAUUUUAAGUGGCACAAAUAGGCAGCAAAUGAAGAAAACAACCCUGUUUCCAAGUAUUAAAUUUGAGAUAGAGCAUGCAGAAAAAGCAAGAAAAAAUAAUUUAACUCAGAAAUGCAUCAACAACAAUAAAGUUAACCUUAGCUUUAGGUGAUAUGAUAAAGGAAGACAUCUGUGAUAAACUGAAUUUUAAACUGAGAAAUCUGCUGAAAAGGAACAGAAAUACAAUGAUAUCAUUAAAGUUCUUAGCUGAAAGAGGAAGGUAUAGGGGACCUGAAUCAUUAAUAGGGCUGGCCUGAAUGAGGAACACCAUGGAAACCAGUACAACUUGAGUAGCAUUAAGUGAUUAUGAGUAGAAUAGUGGACAAGAUCAAAUAAAUGGGCCAGCACAGCUCAUGGACGGGCCUAUGCUUUAGGUGAGCAUUUGAAUAUACUUUGUAAGGGCAAUAUAAUAUUGUUCCUAUUUUUGACACAUUUGAAAAUAUAACAUUUAAAAUGUGUUAUUCCAUUGCAUAAAGGAUGAAUUUUAGCAGGUGUGAUUUGUUAAAAUCAAGGAGAUCAUUUAAAAAUUCUUUUAGUAAAACAAAGGCAGAAGGUGAUGAUUCAAAAAAAAAAAAACAUUUUCAGUGGAGAUGAAAUUCAGACAGUGUAAGUUUUUACGCAGUUUAAACCUUUGCCCUAUAUUUUGGUCCCACUAUGUAUUAACCAAAGAAUCUUGUUUUCAUUGAAUAUAUUUACACUUUUCUAAGGUAGAUUUAUACUAAAUUAUAUUUUUCUAUGCAUUUUUGGUAACCUUAGACAAGUAGCGUAAAUCUUACACAACUAUGAAGAAUGAAAUACUAAGACUGAUAAAUUAUUUUCUAAGCAUCAAAUUGUUAAUUAAUUGGGAUAGAAUUCCUCAUUUUGAAACUAUAGCACCACUUUUAAUGCAUAAUAUCACCUCUCCUUUACUAAAGAACCUAUCAGAUGAACAAAUUUAAAUUUAAUUAUGGCUUGUGUAAAGAUGCCUUCCCAGCUCUCACGCAGUCAUUGGUGGGGCUUUUUCAGAGGUGACUGGAUCUAGAGUGCGGGAUGCUGGAAUUGAUUCACGGUGCAUUGCUAGGGCACUAGGAUUAAGGGUGUGAGUGCCACUCAUCCUAUUUUGUCCUGGAUGAGAUAUAAGGGAUAGAAAGAGCUAUGGAUGUCCCUUCUUGGUUUUCUACCUGAACCCUUCCAUGAACUGUUUUUCCUCCCCAGUGCCUGUUGACAUGACACCUCCCUUGGAGCCAGCCAAUUACAGACUCAAAUCUUUUAACUGUGGGCUAAAGAGAAACAAGACAUUUUGUUAGAAAAAACAUUAAUUUUUAGAAUGUAAUAAUGUACGAUUACAAAAAUCUUCACUGCUAUCUACUAAUUUUGACUUUAUACUUGGAAAUAGUGUAGUUUUGCUUUGAAUUGAUAAUUUGGUUGAUUUUGACUUUAGAGUCUUUGAUUAUGGUGAGGAACAGAAUAUCAAAAUAUCAUACUUAAAUAAAUUUAGACUAUUUAAUGUGAUUGAAACCCUCUUUGAGUACACAGUUGACCAAUUUUCAAGGGUGCAGUAGUCUCUAUUUACCUGAAUUUUUACACCUAUAAAAUAAUUUAAUCAUUUGCAGUAGCUAUAAAGAGCAAAUAUAAUUUUUCCAAAUAUAAAAUAUCAUUAUAACAUACAGAAGUAAAUAUUAUAUUGCUAUUAAAAUACAAAAAUAUAUUUAUGAAUAUUUUGGGACCUAAAGUAAAACUUAUAAAGUCAUGGGAUGUUUAUGCUGUUUUUUACUUUGUAUAUAGUGUGUAUUCUUCAAAAGGAAUAGCAAAUUAUUGACCAGUUACAUAAAUUGUGCAAUCAAUGCAUAACCAUUAAUAAAAGGAUAAUAUCAACUAUUCAACAAGGUCAAUUUUGUACUUUGUAGUAGGAAACCCAGAAGGUAAUAAUAAAUAUCACAAUGAAACAUCAUCAGUAGAAAAAUGUUAGAAAGUUUUAAAAUUCUACAUUUUUAAAUAUAUUCUAAGUAUAAAAUUUCAAUGAUAAAAAAUUUCUUGACAAAAAUGAAUCCAGAAUAACUGAAUAGAUAAAUGGACUCUUCGAUGGUAUAUAGACUGCAGUGUCCUCUGAUUAAAUGUAUGUGACAGCACCGAGUGUAGUUUGGUUAUUGCAUUUACUUUCAGAGUGCUGCCAGUUCUUACAAUAAUCACUAGUUUUGCAUUCUCAAAAAUGAACCCUGAAGAAUGACUACAGUGUUCGUCAUUUUGUUUUAUGGUACUCAUGGCCUUAUGGCAUUUGUUCUCCUUUUGGGAGUUUGAAGUUAGUAGAAAACAUUUAACAAGGAAUUGCAUCCAAGGUCCGUUAAAGGCACUAGAUUUUAUACUUUGCCCUUUUUUUCUUCAGCAUUCACACUUUGCCUAGCAUAUUUUUAGAGUUAGGAGAAAUUCAUGGAGAAUCAGCCUAAAAAUAUUUAUUUUAAUACUGUAAAAUUUAAAUGAACUUCCAGUCACUUCCCAAAUGUGUUACAGGAAAAUUUGGAUAAGACUGAAUCUAUAAAACAAAAGAUUGAAGGGGGGAAGCAGAGAAAUCAAUAGUAAAAAAAUAACUAAUUGAGUCUUUUACAUGUAUCACCUCCUCAUGAUGAAUUUAAUCAUUUUAUAAAGACUUUGUGCAUACAUAUGCACAUUUGUAAAUAUACAAACACAUUAACUUGUUUGUAUUUAUCUUAAUUAACAAGAUAUUUUUGUAAUCAAUUUUAAUAAACUAUUUCUUAGAAAAACACAAAAAUUAAAUGAAAGUUACAAAUUCUUGAAAACUUUUCUCAUCAUAUUUAUACAAUCUUUAUACUAUUAAUAUGCCUCACCAGAGCAUUAUAUCUGUAGAUGUUUAUGAAACUAUGUAUAUAAACCAUUAUUACUAUAUCUACAACUUACUUUUGAAUUCAUUCUGGAAGUUGUAUAUUCUAAAGAUUAAGACAAUAUAUGACCAUAUACACUUCAUCAGAACUCAAUAUUUUAUCACCCUAAAUAUCCUUUGCUGGCUAAGUAUCCCUCUCCCUCAAGCUCUAAUCAUUUCUGAAAACCAUUAAUCAUUUUACUGUCCUUGCAGAUUUCAGUAUUCCACAAAGUCAUAGAGUUGGAAUUAGUAUGUUGACAUAUUUGUUUGAGUACUCCAGAGGAACAGCAUAAGUAGAAAAUACAAACACUUAUUCAAGAGGAAUUUUUUAGUAAGGUUACAGAAUGAGAAGCAGAAAAGUCCACAGUGAUUAUCUGUGUGAGGAAGAACUGGAAGAUACAGAAGUUGUUCAACCCAGGAUGAUGGACAAGAAGGAUCAAGGGCACAGCACCAGUCCAAGAUCAAAAGCCUGGAAACUGACUAGCGUGACAUCUGUGUAAGUCUGCACUGGAAGGCUGAAGUAGAAACCGACAACCAAAGGUGAUGGGAAUCUUAGAGCUCUUCAAACAUGUGAUUAUAAGCAUUUUUAAAUGCAUGUUGUCAUUUAUCAUUGUGUUUGUUGAGACUUUUGCUCAAAUCUUUUGCCUAUUUUUGCAAUCAGAAUUUUUUUCUUACUGUUAUUAUAAAGGAGUGCUUGCACAUUUUGGAAUAUUGCUUUCAUUAGAGGUUUACUGAAGAAACAUUUUCUCUCCGUCUGUGGGGUUGUGGCUUCAUUUUCUUAUUGUUGUCUUUUGCAUGGCUGGAGCUUUCAGUUUUAAUAAAGUGAGUGUUUUCAACUAUUUUUUAAUAUCUUUGUUAUUAGAGAUAUCAUCAAAAAGUCACCUAGGCUUUCUUUUAGGUUAUCCUCCAUGAGUUUUACAGUUUUGAAGUCUAUUUUUAAGAACAUGGUCCACUUUGAGUUACUUUUUGUGAAGUUUAUAAAGUUUAUAUCUACAUUAAUUUAUUUUGCAACCAGAUGUCCAGUAUUUUCAUGGUCAUUUAUUUAAGUCUAACUACUUUGUAUGUGUUUUACCAAUACACAGUUGAUUAUAUUUCUGUGUUGCUAUUUAUGGGCUCACUAUUGCAUUCAUUUAUCUCUUUGCUUAUUGUCUUGGUUACUUUUUACUCAUUGCUGAGACAAAAUAUCCCACAAAGUGGGAAAGGAAAGAUUUUUUUUUUACAGUUUUUGGUGGUUUCAGUCCAUACUCAGUUGGCUCCAAGGCAGGGUGGCAUGGCAUAGCCGCAGUUCAUGGAGGCUGCAAACAGCAAGGCUGAAACCAGCAAAAGAGCCUGACACACCUUCUUCCUUUCAUUACAUCACAUCCUGGCUCCACCCCUCUGUGGGUGGAGCACUCAGACCAUCAAUCCAAGCACUAGACGAUGAACCAAUCACAAAUGCAUGAUGCAAACUCAUGAGGCCUGGGGGACACAACAUACACCAAGACACUUCCUCUUUCACCAGUAUCACGUUAUUCUGAACACUUUUUCUUGAUAGUUACAUUUAAUUAUUAACAACUUUUUAAAAAUUUUUUUAAAUUGUAAGUAGGCAGAUUAAAUCUCAAAUUGCUUCACCAACUCAUUAAAGUAUCUAAAAUUACCCGCAGCUUCUAUUAAAAUGCAUAUUUAUUUUGAGAAGACUCAUUGUAGAUUUAGUACUGUGCAUUGUAAAUAAGCACAGGAUGAUGGUUCCUAGAUCAUAUUUUUAAAAAUAAACCAAAAUAGCAAACUAACUUUGAGGCUGUUUAACCAGUGAUUCUAGAAAAUGUUCUUCUCUAUUAUACACAUAUAUACUUUUUAAUAAAAAAGGAUAGUCUCUAAAACUUUUAAUAAAAUAAACACAUCAUCUCAAAUAAUCAUAUAUCUAUAUUUUUACUUGAUUUAAAACAUAUUAAUAUAUGUUUUAUAUACAAAUGAUUCUUAACAGAUGAACAAAGCUCCUGUAGUCAGACUUUAUUUUGGAAGUCAUUGUGGUCAAAUAGCAUGUUCUUUGAUUUAAACAGUAUUUUAUUAAGCUUAUUUAAAUUUUAUGUAUAUAAAAUUGCUAUCAUUUUUUAUGUAAGCCCUGGGAUAUCCUAAUAAUACAUUUUGUCUACUUGGUAAUAAUUUAUCGACGAGUAAAAAUUAUUACAAUAAUUUUUAGUAUAAUGAAAUAUUUGUCAACCUCUUGGGUUUCAUAGAUCUAGUAAAUCAUUUUCAGGAAUAUAUAAAACUUAUUAAAGUAAACACUAAAAGUAAGCAGUCUCAAUACAAAACUAGAAAGGAAGAAAAGAAACCUAGAAAAUGGAUUAGGAGGGUAAAGGUCUAGUUUUUAAUUUUAACUGGAAAAAUCAUAGAAAAUUAGAUUUAUAAAACUAUAUAGAAAUUUUACCAACUUAUUUCUUGCAUCUGAUUGCAUUAUUGUGUUUUCAAGAAACAUCAUUUUCAAAUUAACCUCCAUUAAAUCUCAAAGUAUCCACUUGUUUUCAGUGACUUCAUAGCUUUUCAUGUCCUCCAUUUUUUGUGUUUGAGUGUUGUAAACUAUGAUGAAUUGGAAAAGAUUGAUUUCACUGCACAUUAGAUAUUACUUGACUAAAAAAAUUAUAUGUAAUUAGGAUGUUUAAUGUAGCUGUUUUCAAAUGGUUGGUAGAUGUAGUUCCCUUCAUCAGAAUGAUUAAACUUGCUUCUUCAGAAAAAAGAUGUAGAGAGAUGGCGACAUGAACUACAAAAGCUACUUGCAGAAAUAAUCCAGAAGAAUUUUCCUAAUUUAGCAAAAGGUAAAGAUACUCAGAUGUAUGAAGCAUUCAGGACCCCAGCCACCUACAACCCAAACAGAGCUACACCCAGGCAUAUAAUAAUCAAAAUACCAGAAAUCCAAUAUAAGAACAGAGUAUUAAAAGCUGUCAGAGACAAGAAACAGAUCACUUACAAGGGUACACCCAUCAGAAUUACAGCAGAUUUCUCAGCACAAACCAUCAAAUCACGAAGAGCGUGGGGGGAAAUAAUUCAAGCUUUGAAAGAUAAUAACCUCCAGCCAAGAUUGAAAUGUCCUGCACAACUAUCCCUGGAAAUUGAUGGAAAAACAAGGUGCUUCCAGGAUAAAGAGGAACUAGGGGAAUAUGCAACCACCAAUCCAACUUUACAGAGAAUACUGCAGGAUAUUCUAAAAAAGGAAAAUACCAAGAUUCCAGAAAUAGUGGCAGAGAGGCCACAAUGAAUGGAGCAGAAAGCGAAA